AACUAUUAGCCACCCUUAUACUUCUAAUGGACGACAAACAAAGUAUUAUAUGUAUAAAAAUUAUAUAUUACAUGGUAAUGUUACUCUAUCACUCUAAUUAUACGCAAGUAUAAAAAUGUGAUAAUUCUUUAGUCUCAAGGAUACACAAUCUAAUAAAGAUUGUCCUACGAUCACUCCUACAAUAGUAGGAAAACAUGAAUUUUUGCUAUAGACUAAAUCUAGUCUAAAGAGCCGAUGACAAACAUGCUUCUCUAGAAUUCUCCAUCAAUCAUGUGACUAGUUGAGUUUUUUGAUGAAUAGCUACUCUUUCACUAUCUCACUAAAUCAUGUCAUGGUCCAUUCUAUGUCUAAAGCUUCAAAUAAGACUAUUUAUCUCAAGUGCAGGAACAAUGUGACGAGAAAAUCAUUUUAAAUUUGACUGUCUGGUGCUUAGCACUUUACAUGUAAUCAGAUCUGGUUUUGUGCAUAUUACAUUUAAUUACAUGGUUACUUUCUUCAAUAUCAUUUUGAUAUUUAGAUGGAACAUGUUUUCACUAUUCACCUUUCUAAUGAGAAUAUUAGUCUUUAUGGACAUACUAAGUUUUUUUUUCUUUCUCUCUCUUUUUUAACUUUCCAAUCUUACACACUUUCUGUACCGAG
rnacentral:lncRNA from 1 species